rfam:Danio rerio chromosome 4, GRCz11 reference primary assembly.
GCCUGGCUAGCUCAGUCGGUAGAGCUCGAGACUCUUAAUGUCAGGGUCGUGGGUUCGAGCCCCUCGUUGGGCG